rnacentral:misc_RNA from 1 species
GUUUCUUGAAGCUGGAACUUAUUUGCGUGUUCAUGUACAUCCAAAGCGCUUCCCAAGGUGCUAUGACAUUGAUUGGAAAUCAAGAAUUAUAGCUGUGACGGAAUCUUAUGUUGUUUUGGAUAAACCUGCUGGUGGGUGGAACUACAGAUAAUAUAGAAGAAAGUUGUGCAACCUUUGCCACUCGUGCUUUGGGAUUAACAACUCCUUUGAAGACUACCCAUCAGAUUGAUAAUUGCACAGAGGGCUGUGUUGUGUUAGCUAGGACAAGGGAGCUUUCCAUGGAAAAAUCAGAGAUAAAAAGGUGAAGAAGCUUUAUCUUGCUCUUGCUGCUUCUCCUGUGCCAACUGGAGUAAUUACCCACUACAUGCGUCCUGUUAAUAUUGCUCCCAG